rnacentral:misc_RNA from 1 species
UCCAUGGGUCAAUUUCCAUAUCAUUUUCCUGUUGCAAUGGCAAUGGCAAUGGCAAUGGCUUGGAUUUCCCCGGCACAUUUGUCGUAAUUCGUGCCAAAGGGAGAGGAUUUUUCUGAGAGACGUUUCCAGAGUAAGACCCAGACAUUGUGAUACUAGGUUGAAGUGAAGCAACAGCAGCAACAGGAACAUAUGGUAGCUGGCAAGAGAUGGACCAUCUUACUGAAGG